rnacentral:rRNA from 1 species
UGGGGAAUAUUGCACAAUGGGCGCAAGCCUGAUGCAGCCAUGCCGCGUGUGUGAAGAAGGCCUUCGGGUUGUAAAGCACUUUCAGCGAGGAGGAAGGCAGUCGUGUUAAUAGCACGGUUGAUUGACGUUACUCGCAGAAGAAGCACCGGCUAACUCCGUGCCAGCAGCCGCGGUAAUACGGAGGGUGCAAGCGUUAAUCGGAAUUACUGGGCGUAAAGCGCACGCAGGCGGUUUGUUAAGUCAGAUGUGAAAUCCCCGCGCUUAACGUGGGAACUGCAUUUGAAACUGGCAAGCUAGAGUCUUGUAGAGGGGGGUGAGAAUUCCAGGUGUAGCGGUGAAGUGCGUAGAGAUCUGGAGGAAUACCGGUGGCGAAGGCGGCCCCCUGGACAAAGACUGACGCUCAGGUGCGAAAGCGUG